AACCUUUACAAUGCACGAAAGUGUGAUAAGGGAAUCCCAAGUGCUUUGCUUUCAGCAAGGCUUUUGCCAUGUGUAAAUAGCAUGGCGAAUAAGUGGUGGGUAAGACUUGUGCCAGCCGCCGCGGUAACACCAGCGCCACAAAUGGCAACCAUUUUUAUUGGGCCUAAAGCGUCCGUAGCCGGUUCAGUAAAUUUUCUGUGAAAUCGUUAGGCUUAACUUAACGGCGUGCAGAAAAGACUACUGGACUUGGGACCGGGAGGCGUCAGAGGUAUUCCUAAGGGAGCGGUAAAAUGCUAUAAUCUUAGGAGGACCCCCUGUGGCGAAGGCGUCUGACGAGAACGGAUCCGACGGUGAGGGACGAAAGCUAGGGGAGCGAACCGG
rnacentral:rRNA from 1 species